UCCUUCUUAGCUCAGUUGGUAGAGCGCGUCACUAGUAUGGAAAUAAUUGAUGACGAGGUCAGUCGUUCAAGUCGGCUAGAAGGAA